AAAUAUCGUGCCCACCAAGGCAUAGGCCGGCUAUCAAUAGAACAGGAGAUUUUUGUCAUUAUUAUCACAUUAUUAUAUUAUCACAUUCUUAUAUUAUCACAUUA